CCUACGGGUGGCAGCAGUGAGGAAUAUUGGUCAAUAGCCGGAAGGCUGAACCAGCCAUGCCGCGUGAAGGUCAGUGUCCUAUGGGCGUUAAACUUCUUUUGUGCGGGAGCAAUAAUGGUCACGUGUGGCCAGACGAGAGUAACCGGAGAAAAAGCAUCGGCUAACUCCGUGCCAGCAGCCGCGGUAAUACGGAGGAUGCGAGCGUUAUCCGGAUUUAUUGGGUUUAAAGGGUGCGUAGGCGGGAUGCCAAGUCAGCGGUAAAAAUGCGGUGCUCAACGCCGUCGAGCCGUUGAGACUGGCGUUCGUGAGUGGGCGAGAAGUAUGCGGAAUGCGUGGUGUAGCGGUGAAAUGCAUAGAUAUCACGCAGAACUCCGAUUGCGAAGGCAGCAUACCGGCGCCCUACUGACGCUGAGGCACGAAAGCGUGGGUAUCGAACAGGAUUAGAUACCCCUGUAGUC
rnacentral:rRNA from 1 species